UCUUUUAUUUACAAUGAACGGGUAUAGUUUUGCUUAUUCAUAUAACGACUACUCCUCAAUCGCUUUCGACGCCCGAGUCUUGUGGGAGAACCCACCAAGUCCCGAGUAAGCCUUAAUUGAAAUUUUAGUUAUUACUACAUAAUCCUGCUACCUAUCUAUGAAAUUACUUUAAGCCUUAUGACUCUUUGUAAUAAAAAUUUAACAUAAUUGUAAUAAGCCAUCUUGACCUUUAUUUGCCAUAAUCGUAAAAAUACAUUAUAGUUUAUAAUUUACUAACUGCACAUUUACAUUGACACUAUUUACCAAUACAUCAUACUAUGGAUGACUUGACCUCUAGCAGUGAAGCGACUUGGAAUAAAGUGAUAUGAGAUGCCUUUACCUAUCCACAAUAGACAAAACGUGUCGAUGAACGUACGUUAGGUCGAUCACUACUUGCAAAAGGGAGAUAAAGGGAUGAGUCUCACAGAAUCAGUGAUCAUUAGCUCCGUGAGCAAGGAGUAGAUGGCAAACAAGCGUAAAGCAGUUAAUUUGAAUAAUAAAACCAGAAUAUAAAAGGAUAAUCUUAUGAAACCAAAUCACAAAUAGGGUAUUUGUGCCUUGUAGAAAUAAUGCUAUAAAUCAUAAUGCAAUACUUUCCUUGGUAAACAGUGCUGAAAAUAAAGCGUAGUAAAAUGCAUUUCAAUGCUCAAAAUCAUCCAUUUCCUUUAAAAACACAAUAGUCGUAUAAAUCACGCACGCUCCCAAAAUUUGUGGCAUGUAAACAUAACCGUGUACAUUCAUGUGUAUCAACUCAAAAUCAACUUAUAAAGCACUGAAAGCUCACAAGCAAAUAGAGGAGCUACGAAGAACAUUAACUCUCCACCAUGCAAAAGAGUACGAGUCUAAAACUCUCAAGGCUCUCGAGUAGGUAAACAUAGUAAUCACUCGUGAACCCACUUCCACAUAAUAACAAUCCUGGAGGUCUUCUUUCAUCAGAUUCCCACAACCAUGGCAGUCUCGACGAUGUUGGCCAACAUCAGAGAAAUCAAGUGGUUGCAACCAAGUAUAUCAACUUGUGGCCUAGCCACAUAUAUCAACCUGUGACCUUGCCAUGCAUAUAUCACAGACUGUGGCCCCAACCACGUCUAACAGCCCGUCGGCAAUCCAAAGGUUCUCUAGGUAGAGCUCACUUGUGCAUAAGGGUCACACUAUCUCGAUGUGACUUUCAACCUACUCUCGACGCUCUCGGUUUGUCAAAACCAUUUUCAAAACCAAAUCAAGUUUUUUGAGACUUUUGCUUUAAAUCUUUUGAAAACAAGGUUCGAUAACCUUUCAAAUUGCUUUUCACAUUAAAUGCAUGGUGUAAACAUUUGUAUAAAAAUCGAACUAAAGUCGGCUCUCAAAAGUUUGCAUUUAAACCAUUUUGACAAGUACAUUUAACUAGGCAUAUCACACAAAGAUACAAGACAUGGAUUUUGGGUACAAAACAAUGCAAAAAGGCUUGUUUCCCGAUUUCUAAAACUCUUUAUAUAUAUGUAUAUAUAUAUAUAUAUAUAUAUAUAUAUAUAUAUAUUACAUAAACAAUUUUGAAAUCAACUUNAACUUACUUAUUAUAUAUAUAUAUAUAUAUAUAUAUAUAUAUAUAUAUAUAUAUAUUCUACAUAAACAAUUUUGAAAUCAACUUGUAUCCACAAUUUCCUAUGGUUUCUACCAGCUCGUGCUUUCCACAAUAGUAGUGUAUAAAUCAUUGUAAAUCCAUUUUAAAAUCGCCUUUCAACGCUAAUAACUCAUAUUAUCCGCAAUUGCAUUUAAAGAAAAUUGGCAACGCUUAUUAAACAUAUAACAAUAUAUAGUGUAUAGAUAUUUUGAAAUAGACAUCCCUUACUCACCUUACAAUAGCGGGACACUACGUCGCUAUCAGUUCAGGUGCGUCUCUAUCUAAUGUUACUUGCCGGCCACCCGUCACCACCUCCAGUACACCACCACAGCAAACCUUCUUCACUUGUACAUGUCCUAGCAGCAAUUUAACUCAAUAUAUUUAGUGAAUGUCACCACAAAUUCAUUCAUAUUUGUUGCCUUAUGCACCACUUUCUUAGUUUUAUGCUUUUAUAUCUCAUCCCAUUUUCUUUCUCAUUCAUACAUUAAUCAUCGUUUUCAUAACUUACGUCAUGCUAGAAUCACCAUUCUUUCUCAUUUAACCUUUGCAUAUUCAUAUACAUCUUGACAUAUUUUUUUCUAAAGGAAUUCAUAUAUUUUACUUAUGUAAUUCUUUAUAUUAUACGUACUGGUAAUUUAUUUAUAAUAUUAAGUGCCCAUUUCAACCUUUUCAAGCAACUUUCAUCCAAAUCCAUCUUAUAUUUUCAUAAUAUUAACCACAUUUAUGGCAACAACAAUCAUUCCAAUCUCACUCAAUUAUUUCCAAGUUUACAUGCAUCAUAAUUGUCAUGACCCGGAACUCUCAUCGAGCCCGUGACAACCGCCGCUACGUCCCGAUAGACAUUCAUUACCCGGAAUGUCAAUCGAAAUCUCGCAAAGCUUAACAUCAGUUUUUCUCGCUUUCCCUAUGAGUAUUAGUUACUAAAAUCAUGUUUUGAGAGAUUAUAAACUAUUUCCAAAUCAAAACAAUAGAAAAAUAAUUUUUUUCUCACAGGGGCAUUUUGGUCAUUUUUCCUCAAAAAUCUCGAAAUCUGCUAAAAUGUAGUAUGCCAGUACAAAACACAUAAUUCAUAAUCAAAAAUAAGUUUAAACAUCUAAAACCUUCAUUUAAAAUGAAAUUAUGAUUAUUUUGAUAUAAUAAAAAUAAAAAAUAAAAGAAAUAUUCAAUAAAAUAUUCUAUUUUCUUAUAAAAUAAUAUUUUUAGAGUUAUACGUAAAUAAUUUUUUUUCAGCGUAAAAGCAAAAUACAUUCAUACAUACGGUAAUACAGUAAGUCAGAGUAUUUAAUUUAAUUUACAAUAACUAGUGGGCCUCCGAAUAACCAAAAUUAAGGAAGACUGUGAACCUACAGUUUGAAGGAUGCAAAUCCAAUGGUAGCUUCGAUGAAAUCCACUAUCUACAGUCUAUUCUGAGCCUUAAAUGGGUGGAAAGGAGAGUGGUGAGAUUAUAUAAUCCCAAUUAGUAAACAAAUACGAUCUAAAAUAUCUAAAGCUGAGUAAAUGGAGACAGAUUAAAAUAGAUCAUCAUACUGUAAUUUAUCACCUUUCAACUCAUUUUAACCAAAUAAAAUCAAUUCAUAUAAAUCGAGUAAUCAACAUGGCUUAUAAAUUUCUUAAAAUUUUGGUUCGUGCCAAAAUCAUUCUCAUACUCAGUUAUUAGGGAUACCUUGGCAUGGGGCUAUCCCAACCGAGUCCGCCAAGGCUGUUAAAAAUUUCGUAUACACAUAAACAUAUUUUUAUUUUGAAAACAUAGUCGUUCCUUGGCAUUGGCUGAGUUCACCCUCACGUGGUGGUUUGGCGUGAAGUGAACUCUAAGAGUGUACCUCGGGAGUUACCCUACACGCCUCUCCAACCGAGGUAAGAAUAUAACAGGGUUACCAUGCCCCUCUAAUAGGCUAAAUAAAAUCUAAACCCACCAAUUCAAUAAAAUCUCAAUCGCAUGACAUGGCAAUUAUAUCACAAUCUAACCUCUCAAGGCUAAAUACACAGUUCAUAUAUUUUCAGCACAUUUACCAAUUCAGCCAUUCAUGCAACUAUUGUCAUAAGCCAUUCGAUUCAAACCAUGAAUUUAAAAAACAUGAAAACAGUCUCCAAUUACUCUAUUUUCAAAACCAUCAUUCAAUCUCAAGACAAUUUUAUAAAAUCAUUUUCAUUUAAUCUCAUUUUGCUUAUAAAACAUAAAGAUUUACUAUUUAAUCUCAUUUUCCAUAAAAUCACAAAAUCGAAUAAAACCACUUUAGAUAAUUAAGACGAUAGUAAGGUUACUCACUAUUUUGGGAGUCGAAUUUCAAGUACUCCGAUUCUUGAUCCUCGGGUACUAUCUCUUUACUUUUGCCAGAAUGCUCACCACCUAGACAUAAUGCACAAUAAGCCAUUUACUACAUUUGUGCUAAAUUGUUAUAAAACCAAUUUAGGCUCUAUACUAAUGCAUGAAAUGGGAUGUAAAUUGUUCGGAUUAUCGUCUAAACACGAUGUUCUACACAAAUUUAAUUGUGUACUUAAAUAAAACGGUAUUGGCCUAAUUCGAUCUAUCACUCGAUUAAUUGGUCAAUAUGUCCAAUUCAACUCCAAUUAACUCCAUAUUUCUUCUAAUUCUCCAAAUCAUCAAACAUAAAUUAAAUAACUUGAAAUAUGGCAAAAUCAUCCUCACAUUUUUUCUUGGGAAUUUCGGCCGUGGUGGGUGCAUCAACACUUUGAUAUUUCCUACUUGAUUUUCUCACCAUAAUUCAUCAUUUCCUAACCAAUUCACUUGAAAUAAAAUCAAAUCCACCAUCCACACUUUACAUGGAAAAUUUAGCCAAUGAUGGGUGAUGGAAGAACAUGAAUUUUUCUUGCUUGAUUUUCAUGCUACACAUCACUAACUAACUAAAAACACUAAAAUAUCUUAAAAUCUAAUCAAAUCAAGCAUCAAAACUCCUCCCCCCAUGGUCGGCCAGCAAGGGAUUCAUCAUGCCAACUUGAUUCUCAACCAUGGAAAAUGCAAAAUAAUGCAUAGGAAAGGUAGAUCACAAGCUAGAAUUGAAAAAUCUUACCUUUUUUCACUUGUUUCCUUGAAUUUUCACACUUUUCCCUUGAAUUUUUCCACCUAGGUUUUUUGUUCUUCUUUUCUUCCUUUGUUCUUCCUUUGG
rnacentral:lncRNA from 1 species